rfam:Mesocricetus auratus contig232976, whole genome shotgun sequence.
UGGCUCAGGGGUUAAGAGCACUGGCUGCUCUUCCAGAGGUCCUGGGUUCAAUUCCCAG